GCACUCACUUCAGCAGCACAUAUACUAAAACUGGAAUAAUACAGAGAUUAGCAUGGCCCCUGUGCAAGGAUGAUACACAAAUUUGUGAACCGUUCCAUAUUUUU